UUUAUUGUAAGAAUCAACUGGUAGCAUGGCCAUGAAAGGACUGUAUAAAGAGAAGCUAAUGAAAGUAGAAUAAUCACAAUCAGAGUCCCAUUUCACCAUUUUGAUCCUUUAAGCAACCGGACAGCCUGCUGCUCAUUCAGCCUCCGAGAUGCUUGAGACAUCAUCGAAUGGUCCAGGCCCUGUGACCCCGUGAUAAAGCGUAAGGCAGGCUUUGGGCUCUGUCAGCUGGCAUUCCUGUCUCACUCACUCACAGAUGCCAUAUUCUGCCAUGUGAGGCAUUACAAUGGCUGCCACUGUGACAUAGUCAUCCCAGAAAGGCUGGAAUGUGACAUUCCGAGUGAAUUCAGGCAAGAGGAGGAGAAGAGAGAACAUUUGUAAAGAGACAGCCCGGGACUCAGGAGAGGAUGGUACUAAAGAAGUACCUAUAAUCAUGGAACUGAAGGCAAACAUUUAGAUGCUGAGAGAAAAUGUCCCCAAGAGAAAGGACCUUCCCUGCUGGCUGUGGCAUGUUUGCUUCUCAUCAUUCAAGUUGAAACUGAAACAGCAUUCCUUGGAGAGGCCAUGACUCUUGACUCUAGAUCAAAUCAAGCUACAGAGAUGAAGAGGUUGAUCUGGCUGGCCUACCUGCAUAUCUUGAGCCCAGCCUAAUGUCUAUAUCGUAGGUUCCUCAGCAACUCUUGGAUAAGCUGAUGAAUGCCCAAUAUCUUCUGUCUGUUCUGCUGACCUGGAGAUUAGCGAUCCUCUUGUAUUAUCACUAGCUGUUUUCUAGUCUCAUUAAAUUCAGCACCUACAUGUCCUG
rnacentral:lncRNA from 1 species